AGAAGAUUGUUGCUAAAGAACAUAUAUGUAAUAUAUGAAUAUCGACAGAGAAAGAGGAAGAACAUGCAUAUAGCCGGUGAAUAUAUAAAUUGAAAGAAGAUUAUUAAAUUGAUUGAAAUCCGAUUCGGUCGAACCAGCGGCACUUGGCUUUUUACUUCGAGAAUUUUAUUCCGAACUGGUUGCGAGGAGUUGCGGAAACAAUGUGUAUCUUUUGGAUUUUGCACUACCAAAACGAUUAUCUUGCCAUCAGGUGUUAGCAGGACCUCGUGUAGUGUGGUACGAACACGUACCACACGUACCAGAUGUGGUGGCUCCAUUUUUGAUAGAACUGCCCCUCGAAAAGACAGGCAUGUUGGAGAGCGUCUUGGCGUUCCACAUGUAAUGUAGUGUAUCUCAGAGCUACACGCGUUCAGAUCAGCUGUUAGCUCAAUAUAAUUAAAAUACUUUUUGAUAUAAAUCUAAGCUUAGCUUGCUGCUUCAAUAAUAACUCUUUAUUGGUAAAAUGACAAAUUUAGAAAAGUGACUAGGCACAGACCCCAUCCACUGCCACGAUACACCAUUUGUAGUCAGCCAAUCGUAUGCCAGUUACUUUCAUCAUAAAUACCAGAACCAUUACCGAAAUUGUAAAAAUUUUAAGUCUCAUCUUAGCUGCGAUCUUCAUUUCCCAAUAUUUUUGUAAGGAGCCUCCUUUAUGUUCUUAACAAUUUGACACACGUUUUAAACCAUGAACAUGUAAUUAUGAAGCCCAGCAAACUAAAAAACGUGACAUGCU
rnacentral:lncRNA from 1 species